rnacentral:rRNA from 1 species
CCUACGGGUGGCAGCAGUGAGGAAUAUUGGUCAAUGGCCGAGAGGCUGAACCAGCCAAGUCGCGUGAGGGAAGACGGCCCUACGGGUUGUAAACCUCUUUUGUCGGGGAGCAAAGCGAGUCACGUGUGACUCAUUGAGAGUACCCGAAGAAAAAGCAUCGGCUAACUCCGUGCCAGCAGCCGCGGUAAUACGGAGGAUUCGAGCGUUAUCCGGAUUUAUUGGGUUUAAAGGGUGCGCAGGGGGAGGGGGAAGUCAGUCGUCAAAUUUGCGGGGUUAACCCCCGUACUGCCGUUGAAACUGGAUGCCUUGAGUGCACGAGAGGUGUGCGGAAUGCGUGGUGUAGCGGUGAAAUGCAUAGAUAUCACGAAGAACUCCGAUUGCGAAGGCAGCAUACCGGCGCGCAACUGACGCUGAUGCACGAAAGCGUGGGUAUCGAACAGGAUUAGAUACCCUUGUAGUC